rnacentral:lncRNA from 1 species
GUAUUUACUCAAAGUAUUGUCUAGCAUAUGAAAGCCAAAACACUUCUAAGCCAAUAAAUAGCAAAAAACUCAACUGAAAUUAGAAAAUUCAUGAUAAAACAAAAAAUUAAAUGUCAAAUAAAAGUUGCUACUCAAUAUAACUUCAGUGUUUAUAUUGAACAUUGUGAAGAAUGUGAAAGUGAAAGUGAAAACACACUUCUUUUUUGUUGGGGCAAGGAGGGGUCUUCUUAGCUUUAGUUACAGGACUGGGGCCUGCAGUUAGCUGCCAGUAUUUAAUCUAAUUUUAUGCUUAUAUUCAUUUUGUCUGUCUUCCAAAAUUCCAGUGUAUUCUGAAAACAUUUCCUUUUUUUUUUUUUUUUUUUUUUUUUUUGAGACAGAGUCUCACUCUGUCACCCAGGCUGGAAUGCAGUGGCGCGAUCUCAGCUCACUGCAACCUUCACCUCCUGGAUUCAAGCAAUUCUCCUGCCCCAGCCUCCCUAGUAUCUGGGAUUACAGGUGCCCACCAUGAAGCCAGGCUAAUUUUUGUAUUUUCACUAGAGGUGGGGGUUUUACCAUGUUGGCCAGGCUGGCCUCAAACUCCUGACCUCAGGUGAUCUGCCUGCUUCGGCCUCCCAAAGUGCUAGGAUCACAGGCAUGAGCCACUGUACCCAGCCUAUUCUGAGUACAGUUCUAAACAAAUCUAAUAAAUACAUUCAUAUUCUUAUUAAGUAUUUAUUAAACAUACACAAUAGUUCAACAUAUGCCUAGAUGAUAAACAUAUGGCAAACAUGGUUCU